rnacentral:rRNA from 1 species
CCUACGGGAGGCAGCAGUCGAGAAUCAUUCACAAUGGGGGAAACCCUGAUGGUGCGACGCCGCGUGGGGGAAUGAAGGUCUUCGGAUUGUAAACCCCUUUCAUGUGGGAGCAAAUUAAAAAGAUAGUACCACAAGAGGAAUAGACGGCUAACUCUGUGCCAGCAGCCGCGGUAAUACAGAGGUCUCAAGCGUUGUUCGGAAUCACUGGGCGUAAAGGGUGCGUAGGCUGUUUCGUAAGUCGUGUGUGAAAGGCGCGGGCUCAACCCGCGGACGGCACAUGAUACUGCGAGACUAGAGUAAUGGAGGGGGAACCGGAAUUCUCGGUGUAGCAGUGAAAUGCGUAGAUAUCGAGAGGAACACUCGUGGCGAAGGCGGGUUCCUGGACAUUAACUGACGCUGAGGCACGAAGGCCAGGGGAGCGAAAGGGAUUAGAUACCCUAGUAGUC